rnacentral:misc_RNA from 1 species
GCAGCAGCCAGGGAUCUAGGAGGAACUUCUUCAGGAGGGCCAAAAAUAUCAUUUCCACUAAGCUCCUUUGUCUUUGCAUCUGAUAGCAGCUUCUUGACUUUGAUAUCUGACUCAAUUUCUAAAUUUCCACUCAACUCACGUUGCUUUGCCACUUCGGUCAGAGUGAUAGGCUUCUUUGGGGAAACAUUUUCUUCAGUACUGAAUGAAAUUUGGCUUAUUCCAUUUGCAGCUUGCUGAACAAUGCGCACUGAUGUCCUGUUAGUAAAAUUACCAUAAUCAGUUCCAGAUUCUGAUUUACCAUCUUCAUCAUGAUCAGAAAAUAUAUU